UAUAUAUAUAUAUAUAUAUAUAUAUAUAUAUAUAUUUGUAACGCCCCGUAUCUUACUUUACCUAUUUAUCGGGUGUUUCUACGAAUUACUGAUAAAUUUAACCGUACUCGAUAACCUAGUAAGGUAACAUUUAAGUUUAUUUUUAAAUUUUUCUCAAAAUGUCAAAUUCUUCUUUUAAAGCCCUGAUGUCGAAGUAUGUGUCGACACAAGUUCACCGGUGUCUUCGGAUUAUUUUGCAGAGCUUUAAGCUAUUUUCUACGAUUUAUGGAAAUUUGGUAAAAAGAAAUUAAUUUUUUAAAAUUAGAAAAUAGCUCAUUUGAUCUUGACUGUCGGAUCAAUCAGGGUUUUGAAUUUGGCCGUUAGUUUGGGUAUAAAAGGAAAAGAGAUGGGUUGACUCUGUCAAAACCCAAACUCGGGACCCGAGCCCAGCCCUCUCUCUCUCUCCCUCUCUGCUUGCCUCCGUCUCCAGCCCGUCGUCGCCGAUUCCGGCCACCUCAAAAGACAAGACGAACACCAAAAAUGAUCCUCUUCUUCUUUUCUUCAAAACCCAGUAAUCAAAUUCCACACACUACCCCAAAUUCAUUGAGAUCAGAAUCGUAGAACACAGCUGUUUUCAUCAGAUUCCGAGGAACUUCGACGACGAUGUGGAGCCCAAUUGGUAUGAUUCUUUUCCUUCUUCCUUCUUCUCCAAUUUCAUGCCUUCAAUCCUUCAAUCAAGCCUUAAUCUCAAAAUCCCCUUUUCUUUGCCUCUUUAUGGGUUUCGAGUUCCUAGCUUCAGCGUCCUGCAUUCGAUGGUUUCUAAUGAGUGCUUCUGGUUUUGGUGAGUCCUUAAAGCCUAGUGGGAAGUCCGAUGAAACCUUGGAGUGACUUGUGGAGCUGCAAUCAUCGAUCUGGACCAAGGCAAAGGCUUGGUGCGUUUGGCUAGAGAGACCCAAGGUGUUGUGCUGAUUCGGUGAAGGUGGCGACUAAGGCAGCAGCUGGGGAUGUUUAGAAGUCCUGCAUACUGAGUUUUGGCACGGAGGAGCUUUUGGGAUUCGUGUUUUGGGCGAGUAGAUGGUAAUGCUCGAUCUCCUUGAUGUUGUUUUGCUUUUGUGUUGUUGAUACGUUGUUAUGGAAUUAUUGAGUUGGUUGUUCUACGUUGGAUUGCUGAUUUAUAAUUGUUUGGUGGAUUGCAUAUCGAGAACUUGGUGAUUCAGAAUUUACGGGGAGACUAUGACGAAAUUCUGACAAAUCAACGGAAUCCGGUGGAAUAUUUCGGCAAGUCACCGGAAUCUGGCUAGAGAUUCCGGCAUGACUCAUGGAAAAUGGUUUUUUCCAUAUGUAAUACCCCGAAAUAUAAUAAUAUUUAUAACAAGUUUGAAUAAUUAUUUAGUAAAAACGGUUAGUAAAAGAAAAUAAUAUAUAUAUAUAUAUAUAGAAUGCAAA
rnacentral:lncRNA from 1 species